CUUAGACUUGGGAUAACUUCGGGAAACCGGAGCUAAUACCGGAUAAUAUAUUGAACCGCAUGGUUCAAUAGUGAAAGACGGUUUUGCUGUCGCUUAUAGAUGGAUCCGCGCCGCAUUAGCUAGUUGGUAAGGUAACGGCUUACCAAGGCAACGAUGCGUAGCCGACCUGAGAGGGUGAUCGGCCACACUGGAACUGAGACACGGUCCAG
rnacentral:rRNA from 1 species